AAAGGGUUACCGGUAGGCGGUUUGAUAAGCAGUGGUGAAAGCCCAUCGCUCAACGAUGGAAUGGCAUUGAUACUGUCAGACUUGAAUUAUUAGGAAUAACUAGAAUAUGUAGUGUAGCGGUGAAAUGCUUAGAUAUUACAUGGAAUACCAAUUGCGAAGGCAGGUUAUACUAAAUGGAUUGACGCUGAUGGACGAAAGCGUGGGGAGCGAACAGGAUUAGAUACCCUUGU
rnacentral:rRNA from 1 species